CUAAUUUAUUACUCUUUUCACGUUCUCUUCAUCAUCUUUACGCUUCACUUUGUAAUACUUUCUUUUCUUCAGAUGACGUUCCCCCCUUCGCGGCCUGUGUUGCAUCGACGUCGUAGUCUCCCUUGGUUCUCCUCACCAUGGUCUCCAUUGGCUCUCCUUGUCGUGGUCUAUGUUGGCUCUCCUCGUCGUCGCCUCCGUUCGCUCUCCUCCAUUUGUAAGAAGUAUGACAAAUACGACGUCGAGAAGAAUCGUGAUUCUAGUGUCUAUGGCGGUGAUUCGUUUUCCAGACUCUACGCCUCCGUCGAUGCUGACAUUGUGGCAUUGCUUCAGUUAUGUUGCUGAAACUCUUAUGACUCAAUUUGUGCCCUAGCUGGAGAAUUUUUCUAUAGAGUCACAGAAUUAGGGGUUUUUCCUAAUGGUAAUGGAGGAUAUUCAUGUGUAUUUCUUCUGAUUGUUUGUGCCGAAAGUAGAAACAGCUUCCAAGGAGAAAGGUAAGGCAUCUACUGUAGCGAUCAAUGCGGAGAUUCGUCGUACUAACACUCGGUUGCUAGAGGAGGUUCCCAAGUUCCUAAAGUUUAUUUUCCUUGCAGAUAAAGCAUACGUAAGGAAUUUGUUCAUGAAACUUAAAAAGCCAGAAAAGUAUAGGAAGAUCUACGAAUUCUCAUUCUAUGCAGAUUGAUGAUUUAUCAAACAAUUUGUCUCCAUCAAUUUUAAGGGCACAACGUCUUGAUUUGGCAGUUUCAUUGUUGCCUGGUUUAGAUGCUGAAGAUAUUGCUCUAUUAUUUGAAGCAAUAAAGCCAGCAUUUCAGGUGCAAGCUUCAUAGCCCAGACACAUGAAUGGUAAUUCUUGCCUUCCAAAAGAGGAGAAACCAAAACUAGAGCUGGAUUUUCGUUGGAAUGAAGAAAGAGAGGGUUUGAAGAUUUGUGUGAAAAUCAAAAUAACUUUACCUCAUCAUAGAAGAAAAGUGAGAGAGUAGAAAAAAGAAAGGAAAAGGGGAGGAGUAAUGAACCAUUGAUACCAUCUUAGUAUUCAGAUGUUAAAGAAAUUCUCAUAUUAUUAUAUUGAAAACAAUGUAUUAUGCAAAAGAGAGAGAGCUUUAAGAUAGAGCUCUACAACUACCGCCCUAACUAAAAACUUAACAUAAAGAAAAAAAAAAAGUGCUUAUCAAAAAACUGCAAUAACCAACGCAUUAAAAUAUAUCUUGUAAUAGUUGCCAAUAUAAA